rnacentral:lncRNA from 1 species
UGAAGAUCGAAGGUCGUCGUGGAAGAAAGAGUGAUGGUGAUUAAUCGAGCCCGAGCUCAAUGCUGACCUUAGACUCAUUCUAGAAGAAAGAGGGAAACCCGAGAUUUCCGGGGCCCGGUAACAAGACCAAGGCGAAGAUAUAAGAGAAUCUAAAUGAGAAGGAUGAAUAUAAAAGGAGAAAAUAGAAAGUCAUUAGUUCAACUAGAAAAAAAUCAUGUCAAUGGGUGGGCACUUCGGUUAUUUUCUUAGUUCGGUUCGAUUUGGUUAGUUUGGUUCUAGUAUUUUUCCAACUGAAAUAAACUAUAGUUAGUUCGGUUUGUGUUCGGUUAGGUUUAUAUUAGUGAUGGUGAUUAAUCGAGCCCGAGCUCAAUGCUGACCUUAGACUCAUUCUAGAAGAAAGAGGGAAACCCGAGAUUUCCGGGGCCCGAUAACAAGACCAAGGCGAAGAUAUAAGAGAAUCUAAAUGAGAAGGAUGAAUAUAAAAGGAGAAAAUAGAAAGUCAUUAGUUCAACUAGAAAAAAAUCAUGUCAAUGGGUGAGUACUUCGGUUAUUUUCUCGGUUCGUUUCGGGUUCGGUUCGGUUUGGUUAGUUUGGUUCUAGUAUUUUUUCAACUGAAAUUAACUAUAGUUAGUUCGGUUUGUGUUCGGUUCGGUUUAUAUUCGGUUUGGUUGGGUUUAUUUUUUGGAUCAGUUUAAUUAGGUUCUUCUUAGUUUAACUUUUUAAGAGAAAUUAUGUUUUAAAACAUAAAUUAUGUAAACAUAAACUAUGUGAACUAAAU